rnacentral:misc_RNA from 1 species
AACUCUCAACCCCGCCAAAGGCUUUAUUGACUUUGGUUGAUUGGGCUUGGAUCAUGGCCUUUGUCGUUACCCUUACGGGUUUGGACUUGGCUGAAAUACAACAAGUUGAAUGGCUUCAUUUGCAGCUUGACCUGAUGUUGUAAACUACUCAUCGGGGAUGUAAUGAAUGCUACAAGAACUUUAAUAGGAACUGUUGGAUGACGGAUUAAUUGAU